UUCUUCUCUCUCUCUCAAUUAGCUUUAGGUAAAUACAUUUGUACUUAGCUCUAUAAUCUUCCUUUCCCACAAUUACAUGCAAGUAGGACGAUGACUUAGAUGGAACGAGUUCAUAGUCAUUAGUGAUUUGGAACAUUAUAGUGUUGAUGCAAUUGUUCCAUGAAAGUCUCUCUUCAUGUAUAUAAUAAAACACAAAAAAAAGUUGACCACCUAAAUUGAGAUUAACACUAAUUAGUAAUUAUCAUCAGCAUACUUAUUAAUUAAUUAACUCCACCAAGAAAAGCACCUGCCCUUGACACGAGAGUAGUCACCUCUCGACUGAAGCUCCACCGUUACCACCACCACUUGAACCACCACUCUUCCUACCACCACUCUUCCUACCACCACCGUUACCACCACCACCUGACAAAACAUGAACACAACAUGCAAGCACUUGAACACAAAAUGAUCGCAAUCAAUUCAACAAUCCCUACAAACCAUUUAAGUACAACCGCAGACUGGAGCCAAUAUGAUAGCGGGUCAUAUAUGUUGACGGAACCACCGAAAUUGAAAAAAAAAAUCUGCAAAACGCAUCAUGGGGUGAGAGACUAACCUUGCAAAUGAGGGAAUUUGUUGUGGGUCGAGACUUGAGCCUUGAAACGGCGAGAGGAAGUAGUGGUCGCAGGGGUGACAGAUUCAGAUUGAGAGUGAGACGGCGACGGCGAGUGAGAGGGAUAAGAGAAAGGUCGCUCUGAGACGACGAUGGCGAGUGAGAGACAGGUCGUUGAGAUGGUGAGAGAGAUUUGGAAUGACACCGUUCAAGAGAGAAACAAAAUCUAUACAAAAUCUGCAAAACCCAUGAAAUUAAAAACAAAAUCUAUAC
rnacentral:lncRNA from 1 species